rnacentral:rRNA from 1 species
CAGUCGCCGCGGUAAUACGUAGGUGGCAAGCGUUGUCCGGAAUUAUUGGGCGUAAAGGGCUCGCAGGCGGUUUCUUAAGUCUGAUGUGAAAGCCCCCGGCUCAACCGGGGAGGGUCAUUGGAAACUGGGAAACUUGAGUGCAGAAGAGGAGAGUGGAAUUCCACGUGUAGCGGUGAAAUGCGUAGAGAUGUGGAGGAACACCAGUGGCGAAGGCGACUCUCUGGUCUGUAACUGACGCUGGGGAGCGAAAGCGUGGGGAGCGAACAGGAUUAGAUACCCCUGUAGUCCCUGUCUCUUAUAC